rnacentral:rRNA from 1 species
AUUGAACGCUGGCGGCAGGCCUAACACAUGCAAGUCGAACGAGUGGCGGACGGGUGAGUAAUGUCUGGGAAACUGCCUGAUGGAGGGGGAUAACUACUGGAACCGGUAGCUAAUACCGCCUUCCAUCAGAUGUGCCCAUAUGGGAUUGGCUUGUUGGUGGGGUAACGGCUCACCAAGGCGACGAUCCCUAGCUGGUCUGAGAGGAUGACCAGCAACACUGGAACUGAGAAACGGUCCAGAAUCCUAUGGGAGGCAGAAGUGGGGAAUAUUGCACAAUGGGCGCAAGCCUGAUGCAGCCAUGCCGCGUGUGUGAAGAAGGUCUUCGGGUUGUAAAGUACUUUCAGCGGGGAGGCGUUACCCGCAGAAGAAGCACCGGCUAACUCCGUGCCAGCAGCCGCGGUAAUUC